CAACAAUGCCCUAAUGGAUAUCAACAACAUGAACAGUCUUGUUACGCUGUUGUAACAUUCAGAUCCAGUUGGGUUGAUGCUGAGACAAUGUGUCAAGCAGCUGGUAGUCACCUGGCUUCUAUUGAAACAGACGCAGAACGACUUUAUCUAAACCAAUAUAUUAACUUUUCACACGGUGAUGCCUACAGAUAUUACUGGGUUGGUGCUUUCAACUUUAUUGAUGGUACCUACAUGUGGGUUGGAACCCAGAAAGGAUUAGGCCAGGUAUCUUGGAAGGCUGGAGAACCAACAAACCGA